rnacentral:rRNA from 1 species
GUGGGGAAUAUUGGACAAUGGGCGCAAGCCUGAUCCAGCCAUGCCGCGUGAGUGAUGAAGGCCUUAGGGUUGUAAAGCUCUUUCAGUGGGGACGAUAAUGACGGUACCCACAGAAGAAGCCCCGUCUAACUUCGUGCCAGAAGCCGCGGUAAUACGAAGGGGGCUAGCGUUGUUCGGAUUUACUGGGCGUAAAGCGCACGUAGGCGGAUCGUUAAGUCGGGGGUGAAAUCCUGGAGCUCAACUCCAGAACUGCCUUCGAUACUGGCGAUCUUGAGUCCGGAAGAGGUGAGUGGAACUCCGAGUGUAGAGGUGGAAUUCGUAGAUAUUAGGAAGAACACCAGUGGCGAAGGCGGCUCACUGGUCCGGUACUGACGCUGAGGUGCGAAAGCGUGGGGAGCAAACAGGAUUAGAAACCCUGGUAGUCC